rnacentral:rRNA from 1 species
GUAGGUGGCAAGCGUUGUCCGGAAUUAUUGGGCGUAAAGCGCGCGCAGGCGGUUCUUUAAGUCUGAUGUGAAAGCCCACGGGCUCAACCGUGGAGGGUCAUUGGAAACUGGAGAACUUGAGUACAGAAGAGGAAAGCGGAAUUCCACGUGUAGCGGUGAAAUGCGUAGAGAUGUGGAGGAACACCAGUGGCGAAGGCGGCUUUCUGGUCUGUAACUGACGCUGAGGCGCGAAAGCGUGGGGAGCAAACAGGAUUAGAUACCCUGGUAGUCCACGCCGUAAACGAUGAGUGCUAAGUGUUAGGGGGUUUCCGCCCCUUAGUGCUGCAGCUAACGCAUUAAGCACUCCGCCUGGGGAGUACGGCCGCAACGGCUG